AGACAAGUCCAAGAACACUUGUCCUUAUGCAUGAAUCUUCAUAGGCACUUGUCAUUCAAUCCCUUCAUCUCUUGGCCUAUAAAUUCAAACCUUCAGAACCUCUGAUGAUCAAGCCACGCCCCAGACCUGACCUGAACCUCAGAGCAAGAGAGAGAAGCUCUCAUAUCUCUCUUAAAGUCCCUAACUUAGCCAUUCAUUCAUCUUCUUUGUUCUUCACAAAAACCAUCUCAAUUCUUCCGAAAAACCUUCCAAUUAUGUUUCGGGGCAUGUGAGGGUCGAAUCUGGAAAGUUUGGAGAGAUUCUGGGCACGAAAUGAGUGAUUCUGGGCUGUCUUCAUCGAGUUCAUCAGAUGAAUUUCCCUGCGAGUUCACCGGAAUGUCAACUACUUUAAACGCGUUUAUCUCUCUCGUCCAGCGUCCAAUCACGAAGAUUCAACCACCACCGUUCCUAUCUCAGAGAGACGAAUCCAUCCCAGUACCCUGUUCAUCUCCGGCGACGAUUUCCGCCGCAUACGCCGCCGCCGGUUCGUCUUCUCCGGCGAGCUUCUCGCCGGAGUUUUCCAGAAUUUUCUAGACGCGUGUUUCAUGUUCUUUCAUGCUUUCCAAACUCAAUUUUAGCCGUAUUCUUACAAUUUGGGACAUGAAAAACAUAGUUUUAUAGGCUGGGCAUGUGAAUUUCGAAUCAAACCAAAGUUUGAACAUGUCGGGGAACUUUUGGGUACCUAGGGCUGUCUAGAACGUUUAAGGUCCUGUUAAAAUCGUAUGUAUGAUGCUGGAAUGAUGAGGAACAUAACUGGACAACUAGAACAGAGCUAGAGCAAAGGGAUCAUGGUUCCACCAUGGCCAAAACCUUCAAAAACGUGAAGGAACCUUGCUCCCUGAACUCUGAACUCUUUUUGAAUGAUGUUGAUUUCAGUAUGAAUUGGACCAUAUAAUAUGAAUAGGACAAGCUAAAAGUUAUGGGGAUUUGACCAUGAUGAAUUUGAACUUAAAAUGACAUAAAAUGGAGAUUUCAAGGAUGAUUUUGAUUUAGGCUAUGUCUCAAUCUGACUUUUGGUACUGGACAGAUUCUAAUUAAUUUAAAAUUGACUCAGAUCUUAUUAAGCUUUGAUAAUCUUGAUUAAUUGGAUAAUUAGUGAUUAAUUUUCCUAAUUAAAUUGAUAAUUUCUAACAAAAUUUAAUAGUAAAGUGCUAAUCUAAGUUGAUGGUGUAAUGAUUAACUAAAGUGAAUAAUUAAUCCAAGUAUGUUAGGGCUAAUUAAUUGAAGAACUUGUUAGCUUUUGUUAAUUUUGAUUGAUUGUCUAAUUAGUAUUUUACUUAUCUAGUUAAAUGGAUGAUUAUCAAUUCUUAAUCAUGAAAUGGUAAUCUAAGUAACAUCAAAGUGUUUGUGCAAUGAAUGAGGACUGAAGUGAAGAAAUAACUUAAGAGUAUAAGAAGUAAUUGGUAAGGAAAGAUUAAGGAAUGACCAGGUUAACCUAAUCAAACAAAUUAAGGGUUUAUGAACUAAAAUCCUUACUUUUCCUCAUGCGUUAUAAGGUUGUGAGUUUAAGAAAGAUGAAGGGAUAAGUAUUAAAAAGGAGUGAUAAAUAAAUCACUUUUUUAUGAAGUUAUAGACUAAAUGAGUCGUAACUGUAAUUCUAUGCAGAAGAAACUCACAAGGAUUGACGGAGACAGUAAUCAUUGAAUACUAAGGUAAGGGGGGAGAGGUCACCAACCAUGAUGGGAGAAUAAUACGAAUAAAUGAGUAUUGGACCCUCCUAGGUCCCUUGCCGGUUGUUUGUUGUGAAUUUGCCUUAACUUGUAUACUUUAUGUCGUUGAUUGACUAUGUGGUUAAGAAGAUUGGAGUGAUAUUUGUCUCUUCAUGAUUUAUCUGAUUUGGAAUCAUAACCCUGAUUGUCUUGAUAGAUUAGCCUUGGCUCUGUGAGCAAGGUGAUGUUGAUAGCCUUGGCUCCGUGAGUAAGGUGAUGUUGAUGGAUAAGUCUUGGCCAUGUGGGCGAGCUUAUGUGACCCUCUGGCUCUGUGAGUAGAGGUAUGAUUGAUGAUUUGGUCCUUGGCUCCGUGAGCAAGAAUGUAUGUGCACACAUGAUUUCUCUUGGCUCUGUGAGCAAGAAUGAUACUAAGGGAUUCCCUUGGUCCUGUGGACAAGCAACAGAUAAUGAAGCAGUGAAGAUAGAGCACUAAGGUUCGCAGUAAGAAGAUAGACGAGCAGAGUAACUAUUAGCAGGAGUAGCUUAUGUGAAAUAUAUCUAGAGAUGUGUAGUACUUAUAGCUGGUUGCUAGUAGCCUGUAAUAUAAAUAAAGGGAUAGAACCCUUUAUCAGCUCGUUGUGGCCGACUUGUGAGAUCUGGUGUAUUCUCUUUCCUUUUGGUGUGUUUAUGAUUGAUGUUAAGUAUGACUAAGAUGAAAAUGGUGUAUGAUACCUAA